GUUGAAGUGUACCUAUGAUGAAAAUUACAGACCUCUGUCAUCAUUUGAAGUGGGAGAACUUGCCCAAUCGGUGGCUGACUAAAUACUUUUUUGUCCCACUGUGUCAUUUUCUUCUUCUGGCCUCCUCGUCAUGCAUGCUGCUGUGUUCCUCACCUCCAUCUUCAUCUCACGUCUGCUCACAACAUGGCCGCCAUUGGUCCGAGCCAGUGGCGAGAUUUCCCGCGUCUGCAGAACGGACCUCGAUCAGCGUCCUUCCCAGGAAGACGUUCCUUCCUAAAUCCUGCUUUGAAGACGUUCACACUUUUGUUCCAUUUUUUUUGUCUUCUUUUGGGAUUUGCUUUCGACAAAUCCUCCAAACCCAACGCUUACACACUUUUGGGACGCCGGCGCGUCUGAGCGAUUAUGGUUUCUAUUAUUUGGAUUAGGCUCUGAAUCGUCUUUUUUUUUUUUUUUUAAACAGCUGUUGCUGGCGAAACCCGUGCCGUGUCUCAGAUGGCGCACUUGCGUGUUCCGAGUGCCUUCGCGCCGUCAGUGCUGAAAUGUUGCAUGGAAGUGGCCCUGACCGACACGUAGCGCCCCAAAUCGCAGACGGGGAGGGACUAACUCAAAAUUUUGGUGAGGGAGUAGCGCUGACAAGUAGUGAACAAAAGAUCCCGACAACAAUUGUCGAAAUUUGCGCACUCUAGAACUACUUGCACUUAUUGGAGUGUGCUGACUGAAGUAUUCCAUUUGAGACUUGUGUACUCACAAUUAGAUUCCGGACUAGAAGCCGCUAUUUUUUUCCCCCUACGCUUCGAACCCCGCGACUUAUGAAAUGGUGCGGAUAAUUUACGGAUUAUAAUAAAUCAAUCAAUGUUUACUUAUAUAGCCCUAAAUCAUGUGUCUCAAAGGGCUGCACGAGCCAUGACGACAUCCUCGGCUCAAAUCCCUCAUCAGGGCAAGGAAAAACUCAACCCAAUGGUACAAUGAGAAACCUGGAGAUGCACCAGGCGACCGGUGCAAUGGACGCCGAGUGGAUUUAGCAUAAUAUAGUCCAAAGUGGAUCCAACAUAAUAGUGUGAGUCCAGUCCACAGUGGAUCUAACAUAAUAGUGUGAGAGUCCAGUCCAUAGUAGCUCUAACAUAAUAGUGUGAGAGUCCAGUCCACAGUGGAUCUAACAUAAUAGUGUGAGAGUCCAGUCCAUAGUGGAUCUUGCAUAAUAGUGUGAGAGUCCAGUCCAUAGUGGAUCUAACAUAAUAGUAAGAGUCCAGUCCAUAGUGGAUCUAACAUAAUAGUGUGAGUCCAGUCCACAGUGGAUCUAACAUAAUAGUGUGAGAGUCCAGUCCAUAGUGGAUCUUGCAUAAUAGUGUGAGAGUCCAGUCCAUAGUGAAUCUAACAUAAUAGUAAGAGUCCAGUCCAUAGUGGAUCUAACAUAAUAGUGAGAGUCCAGUCCAUAGUGGCUCUAACAUAAUAGUGUGAGAGUCCAGUCCAUAGUGGAUCUUGCAUAAUAGUGUGAGAGUCCAGUCCAUAGUGGAUCUUGCAUAAUAGUGUGAGAGUCCAGUCCAUAGUGGAUCUUGCAUUAUAGUGUGAGAGUCCAGUCCAUAGUGAAUCUAACAUAAUAGUGAGAGUCCAGUCCAUAGUGGCUCUAACAUAAUAGUGAGUGUCCAGUCCACAGUGGAUCUAACAUAAUAGUGUGAGAGUCCAGUCCACAGUUGAUCUUGCAUAAUAGUGUGAGAGUCCAGUCCAUAGUGAAUCUAACAUAAUAGUAAGAGUCCAGUCCAUAGUGGAUCUAACAUAAUAGUGGGAGAGUCCAGUCCCUGGUGGAUCCAACAUAUUUAAAUUGUCAUAAAUUCCGGACUAAAAGCCGCUAUUUUUUUCCCCUACGUUUCGAACCCUGCGACUUAUAAAGUGGUGCGGAUGAUUUACGGAUUAUAAUAAUCAAUCGAUCAAUGUUUACUUAUAUAACCUUAAAUUACGAGUGUCUCAAAGGGCUGCACGAGCCAUGACGACAUCCUCUGCUCAGAUCCCACAUAAGGGCAAGGAAAAUCUCAACCCAAUGGGACAAUGAGGAAUCUUGGAAGGGAUAUAAAAUGGUGUGUACUAUUACUGGUGGGUGUGUUGCGGGUCAUCUAUUAAAGACGGUGUGUACAAUCAAUCAGUCAAAUUGUACUCAUGCAGGCCUUAAUCACCAGUUUACGAUCAAUAACUGUAUAAGUGAUUUAGAUCGCCAUAUUUAAAUUGUCAUAAAUUCCGGACUAGAACCCCCUAUUUUUUUCCCCUACGCUUCGAACCCCGCGACUGAUAAAAUAGUGCAAAUAAAUUACGGAUUACAAUAGUCAAUCAAUUUGUAGUUAUACAUCCCUAAAUCAUGAGUGUCUCAAAGGGCUGCACAAGCCACGACGACAUCCUCUGCUCAGAUCCCACAUCAGGGCAAGGAAAAACUCAACCCAAUGGUACAAUGAGAAACCUUGGAAAUGCGCCAGGCGACCGGUGCAAUGGACGCUGAGUGGAUCUAGCAUAAUAUAGUGAGAGUCCAGUCCAGAGUGGAUCUAACAUCAUAGUGAGAGUCCAGUCCAUAGUGGAUCUAACAUAAUAGUGAGAGUCCAGUCCAGAGUGGAUCUAACAUAAUAGUGAGAGUCCAGUCCAUAGUGGAUCUAACAUAAUAGUGAGAGUCCAGUCCAUAGUGGAUCUAACGUAAUAGUGAGAGUCCAGUCCAUAGUGGAUCUAACAUAAUAGUGAGAGUCCAGUCCAUAGUGGAUCUAACAUAAUAGUGAGAGUCCAGUCCAGAGUGGAUCCAACAUAACAGUGAGAGUCCAGUCCAUAGUGGAUCUAACAUAAUAUUGGCAGAGUCCAGUCCAGAGUGGAUCUAACAUAAUAGUGAGAGUCCAGUCCAGAGUGGAUCUAACAUAAUAGCGUGAGUCCAGUCCAGAGUGGAUCUAACAUAAUAGUGAGAGUCCAGUCCAGAGGGGAUCUAACAUAAUAGUGAGAGUCCAGUCCAGAGGUGAUCUAACAUAAUAGCGAGAGUCCAGUCCAUGGUGGAUCUAACAUAAUAGUGAGAGUCCAGUCCAUAGUGGAUCUGACGUAAUAGUGAGAGUCCAGUCCAUAGUGGAUCUAACAUAAUAGUGAGAGUCCAGUCCAGAGUGGAUCUAACAUAAUAGUGAUACUCCAGUCCAGAGUGGAUCUAACAUAAUAGUGAGAGUCCAGUCCAGAGUGGAUCUAACAUAAUAGCGUGAGUCCAGUCCAGAGUGGAUCUAACAUAAUAGCGAGAGUCCAGUCCAGAGGGGAUCUAACAUAAUAGUGAGAGUCCAGUCCAGAGGUGAUCUAACAUAAUAGCGAGAGUCCAGUCCAGAGCGGAUCUAACAUAAUAGUGAGAGUCCAGUCCAGAGGUGAUCUAACAUAAUAGCGAGAGUCCAGUCCAUAGUGGAUCUAACAUAAUAGUGAGAGUCCAGUCCAUAGUGGAUCUGACGUAAUAGUGAGAGUCCAGUCCAUAGUGGAUCUAACAUAAUAGUGAGAGUCCAGUCCAGAGUGGAUCUAACAUAACAGUGAGAGUCCAGUCCAGAGUGGAUCUAACAUCAUAGUGUGAGAGUCCAGUCCAUAGUGGAUCUAACAUAAUAUUGGCAGAGUCCAGUCCAUAGUGAAUCUAACAUAAUAGUGAGAAUCCAGUCCAUAGUGGGGCCGGCAGGAGACCAUCCCAAGCGUAGACUCUCACUAUUAUUAUUCCAGUUUUUAAUCUCUAGAGCAACAUUAGGUCUAUCCGUCAAUAUGACGUUUUUAAAGAUUUAAGUUGUAUGCUCUUUUUGUCAAAGAAAACCCUGUUUUUUUAUUGAAAAAAAAACACAAAAUAUGCAAUAUUUUCACCCAAUAACAUUUUUAAGUAGAAUGUUGGAGAUUAUAUAAAAAUUGGUCAACAACUCAAAACACCAUUGAUUUUAAUUCACUAUUAUUUUUUGUGCAAUGACACUUAAAAACAAAACACACUGAUCCAAAAGGGUCCUACUCAUUAAAGCAGGGGUCACGAAGGCGGUGCCCGCGGGCACCAGGUUGCCCGUAAGGACCAGAUGAGUCGCCCGCUGGCCUGUUGUAAAAAAUAGCUCAAAUAGCAGCAUUUACCAGUGAGCUGCCUCUAUUUUUUAUUUUUAUUUUUAAAUUUACCAGCAAGCUGGUCUUGUUUUGCUCGACAUUUUUAAUUCUAAGAGAGAAAAAACUCAUAGAAUUUGAAAAUCCCCAAAAAUAUUUUAAAGACUUGGUCUUCACUUGUUUAAAUAAAUUCAUUUAAUUUUUUACUUUGCUUCUUAUAACUGUCAGAAAGACAAUUUUAGAGAAAAAAUACAACCUUAAAAAUGAUUUUAGGAUUUUUAAGCACCAUUUUACCUUUUAAAUUCCUUCCUUUUCUUUCCUGACAAUUUAAAUCAAUGUUCAAGUAUUUUAAUUAUUUUUUAAAUGUAAAGAAUGAUAAAUACAUUUUAAUUUAAUUCAUUUUAGCUUCUGUUUUUUCGACAGGGAAUAUUUGUGAAAUAUUUCUUCAAACUUAUUAUGAUUAAAAUUCCCAAAAAAUAUUCUGGCAAAUGUAGAAAAUCUUUAGAAUCAAAUUUAAAUCUUAUUUCAAAGUCUUUUGAAUUUCUUUUAAAAAUGUUGUUCCGGAAAAUCUAGAAGAAAUAAUGAUUUGUCUUUGUUAGAAAUAUAGCUUUGUCCAAUUUGUUAUAUAUUCUAACAAAGUGCAGAUUGGAUUUUAACCUAUUUAAAACAUGUCAUCAAAAUUCUAAAAUGUAUUUUAAUCAGGAAUAAUUACUAAUGAAGUUCCAUAAAUAAUUUUUUUAAUUUUUUCAAAAAGAUUCGAAUUAGCUAGUUUUUCUAUUAAUUUUUUCGGGUGAAUUUUGAAUUUUAGAGUCGAAAUUGAAGAUUAACUGUUUCAAAAUUCAAUUUUCUUUUUUUUUUCGUGUUUUCUCCUCUUUUAAACCGUUCAAUUAAGUGUUUUUUUCAUCAUUUAUUCUCUACAAAAAACCUUUCCGUAAAAGGACAGAAAUACCCAUUUUUUUUAUAUAUAUAGAUUUAUUUAUUAAAGGUAAAUUGAGCAAAUUGGCUAUUUCUGGCAAUUUAUUUAAGUGUGUAUCAAACUGGUAGCCCUUUGCAUUAAUCAGUACCCAAGAAGUAGCUCUUGGUUUAAAAAAGGUUGGUGACCCCUGCAUUAAAGUGUUAAAAAAUAAAUUAUAAUUUUUUUCAAAACUUUUUUUUAACACAAUAUUCUCGAGAUCAACUUCAGAUCUAUACGUCAAUUAUACGUUUUUUUGUUUUGUUUAUGUUUUUUGUUUGUUCGUUUUAAGCCAUUCUUUAAAUAAAAAAAAGCUCCGUUUUUUAUAUGGCAAACACAAAAUAUGCAACAUUUGCGCUAAAAAAUAUCUCAAAGUGGAAUAUUUAAUGUGACGUAAUUAAAGCCUUGAAUAGGGCAAUAAUUCAUAAUGACAUUGAUUUUGAUUCAUUAUUUUUUAAAGAAAGAAACAGCCUGCAUGGCAGCUUUGUGUUAUUAGACUAAACAUUGCAACAUUUUCUUGUUAAAUUUUAUCCGUUUGCUCCUUUAUAUCACUUUUUCCGUUUAAAAAAUUUUUCCGAUCGUAUUUUUAAAAUGUGCCGUGGGGCCGUUAAAAAAUUACCUGCGGGCCGCACUUUGGACACCCCUGGUUUAGCUGAUUGAUUUGCUAGCUUCCGCAGCUUGUGGGUCCGUGAUGACGACUUGUGUUUUGUUUAAACAGCCGUUUUACUGCCGUGUUGCAGACAUCACUUGGAAACAAUUACGUUUUGUAUAUAAACAUUUACAUAUUAAUUUUGUGUAAAUCACUCAUUUUGCAACGUUUAUAUCUGCGGCUUUUAUUUGGAAAUGUUUUCUUUCUUUUUUUUUUAAUUAUUGGGUGCGGCUUGUGUACCGGAAAAUACGGUCAUCGUAAGCUCCAACCUGUGGCGUUUUGUCAUGUUGUCGACAUGCAGCACACCGUUCUAAUUUGGACCACACCUUUUCCGGGUCAUGUUGAUAUACUGAUCUUAACAACGAAACUAAGUUUUUUUUUGCACGCCGAAGGUGUCCGCAAUGAUCCAGCCGCUAGAAAAUGCAUAUCGCGAGAAGUCUUUUUUUCAUAUAUUUAAAAAUCAUAAUAUAAAUGCAAAACUAUUCACACCCCUUGCACAUGUGUUGUCAUACGUGGAUAAAAACAACACAAAAUUAUACACCAUUGUGAUGAUUCAAAACAUUUUCAAAUGUUCUCGUAUAUUAAAAAUUAAUAAUAAAAAAACACCAGCAUAGACCAAAACAAAUCAAUUAAAUUAGUUUUAGUUAUUCAUUUAGCAAACUUGAUAUCCUCUCUUUGCGGCGCGAUCGCCUCAUCUCUCACCGCCAUUUGUGCUUAACUGUGCCAGUUAAGGCCAACCUUAAUGUAGCCCCGCAGAACAGUUUCGGUCUUGAAAAAUCACCUCGUCGACACAUAUUCCGCAGCGACGGAAUGGAUUUGAGAAAACUGAAAACUUUAGCACGCUCACAAACUAAGUACAUACUUGAUGAAGUGCACUGACGCAGGUGUUCCAUUUGAGAACGGCCCCCAACGAGGGACGUCUACCCACGUUUUGGUAGCCGUUAAAAGGGUAUGCAACUACCAUCAUGACCCUCAUGUUCCGGUCUCGCUCAUGUCCACCUCACAGACCAAGGGUGCGUUCACACCCGUCAUCUUUGGUCCACUCUAAACAAAUCUCUGGUGGGUUUGCCAGCCUCCAAGAAAAUUUCCCUACUUUAGAGCCGGAUUACAAUGUUUUGGAAAAUUUUACAGAAAGGUUUCCUAAUUGGAGCAUACUUUUAAUGUGGAAGAAAUUUCCCAGGAGAAUUUUGGUAAAUGUUGUCUAGUUUGGGCAAGGGUCGCAAUCUGGAGGAAAACUUCCCAGAAUUUUAUCAAAAAGUUUCCCUAUUUGGCAAUAGUUGUUUAUUGUGAUGGAAAAUGUCAGAGAAAAUUUCCCUACUUUAGAGCCAGAUUACGAUGUUUAGGAAAAUUUUACAAAAAGUUUCCUAAUAGGAGCAUCCUUUUAAUGUGGAAGAAAUUUCCCAGGAGAAUUUUGGUAAAUGUUGUCUAGUUUGGGCAAGGGUCGCAAUCCGGAGGAAAACUUCCGAAAAUGUUAUCAAAAGUUUCCCUAUUUGGCAAUAAUUGUUUUAUUGUGAUGGUAAAUGUCAGAGAAAAUUUCCCUACUUUAGAGCCAGAUUACAAUGUUUUGGAAAAUUUUACAGAAAGUGUUCUUACUUGAGCAUGAUUUCAAUGCAGAAAACAUUUUCCAGGAAAUUUUUUGUAAAUGUUGUCUAGUUUGGGCAAGGGUUGCAAUCUGGAAAAAAAAACUUCCGAGAAUUUUGUCAAAAAGUUUCCCUAUUUGGCAAUAGUUGUUUUAUUGUGAUGGAAAAUCUCCCUACUUUAGAGCCAGAUUACAAUGUUUUGGAAAAUUUUACAAAAAGGUUUCCUAAAUGGAGCAUACUUUUAAUGUGGAAGAAAUUUCCCAGGAGAAUUUUGGUAAAUGUUGUGUAGUUUGGGCAAGGGUCGCAAUCUGGAGGAAAACUUCCGAGAAUUUUAUCAAAAAGUUUUUCUAUUUGGCAAUAGUUGUUUUAUUGUGAUGGAAAAUGUCCGAGAAAUUUUCCCUACUUUAGAGCCGGAUUACAAUGUUUUGGAAAAUUUUACAGAAAGGUUUAAUAAUUGGAGCAUACUUUUAAUGUGGAAGAAAUUUCCCAGGAGAAUUUUGGUAAAUGUUGUCUAGUUUGGGCAAGGGUCGCAAUCUGGAGGAAAACUUCCGAGAAUUUUGUCAAAAAGUUUCCCUAUUUGGCAAUAGUUGUUUUAUUGUGAUGGAAAAUGUCCUGGGAAAAUUUGCCUACUUUAGAGCCAGAUUACAAUAUUUUGGAAAAUUUUACAGGAAGUUUUCUUACUUGGAGUAUAAUUUCAAUGUGGAAACAUUUUUCCAGGAGCAUGUUUGUACAUUUUCUCUAGUUUGAGCAAGGGUUGCAAUCUGGAGGAAAAUUUCCCAAAAAUGUUAUUACAAAAAGUUUACCUAUUUAAAGCAAUGGUUGUGGCAAUUUGAUGGAAAAUGUCAGAGGAAAUUUAUCUAAUUCAGAGCCACGUUACAAUGCUGUGGAAAACUUUAGAGAAAGUAUUCUUACUUGGAGCAUAAUUUCAAUGUGGAAGAAAAUUUCCUGGAGCAUUUUUGUAAAACAAAUUCUCUAGUUUGAGCAAGGGUUGCAAACUACAGGAAAAAUUCAAAUCUUUUUUUCAAAAAGUUUCCCUAUUUAAAGCACUCGUUGUUGCAAUUUGAUUGAAAAUGUCCGAGAAAAUGUCUGUACUUUACAGCCAGAUUACAAUGUUGUGGAGCAUUUUACAGAAAGUUUUCUUACUUGGAGAUGAAUUUCAAUGUGGAAUAAGUUUUCAGGGAGCAAUUUUGUACAUUUUCUCUAGUUUGAGCAAGGGUUGCAAUCUGGAGGAAAAUUUCCCAAUUUUUUUUCCAAAGUUUCCCUAUUUAAAGCAAUGGUUGUUGCAAUUUGAUGGAAAAUGUCAGAGAAAAUUUCUCUACUUCAGAGCCAGAUUACAAUGUUGUGGAACAUUUUACAGGAAGUUUUCUUACUUGGAGCAUAAUUUCAAUGUGGAAGAAAUGUUCCAGGAGCAUGUUUGUAAGUUUUCUCUAGUUUGAGCAAGUAUUCAAAUCUGGAGGAAAACUUCCGAGAACUUUAUCAAAAAGUUUCCCUAUUUAAAGCAAUAGUUGUUGCAAUGUGAUGGAAAAUGUCUGAGAAAAUUUCCCUAUUUUAGAGCCAGAUUAUAGGAAGUUUUCUUGCUUGGAGCAUGAUUUCAAUGUGAAAUACAUUUUCCAGGAGCAUUUUUGUAAAUGUUCUCUAGUUUGUGCAAGGGCUGCCAUCCGGAGGAAAAUUUCCAAUAUUUUUUUUCAAAAAGAUUCUCUAUUUAGAGCAAUGGUUGUUGCAAUGUGAUGAAAAAUGUCCAGGAUUGUUUUUUUUUUCGAGCCAGAUUACAAUGUUGUGGAGCAUUUUACAGAAAGUUUUCUUACUUGGAGAUGAAUUUCAAUGUGGAAUAAGUUUUCCGGGAGCAAUUUUGUACAUUUUCUCUGGUUUGAGCUAGGGUUGCAAUCCGGAGGAAAAUUUCCCAAAAAUGUUUUCAAAAAGUUUCCCUAUUUAAAGCAAUGGUUGUUGCAAUGUGAUGAAAAAUGUCCAGGAUUUUUUUUCUUUCGAAUUUAGAGCCCGAUUACAAUGUUGUGGAACAUUUUACAGAAAGUUUUCUUACUUCGCAAUGAAUUUCAAUGUGGAAAAAAAUUUUCCUGUAGCAUUUUUGUACAUUUUCUCUAAUUUGAGCAAGGGUUGCAAUCUGGAGGAAAAUUUCCCAAUUUUUUUUUCAAAAAGUUUCCCUAUUUAAAGCAAUGGUUGUUGCAAUGUGAUGAAAAAUGUCCAGGAUUUUUUUUUUUUUUCGAAUUUAGAGCCAGAUUACAAUGUUGUUGAACAUUUUACACAAAGUUUUCUUACUUCGCAACGAAUUUCAAUGUGGAAAAAUUUUUUCCUGUAGCAUUUUUGUACAAUUUCUCUAAUUUGAGCAACGGUUGCAAUCUGGUGUAAAAUGUCUGGUAAAUUUCAAUGGGAACUUUUGGAAAAUACUUGAUGUACUUGAUAAAAACGGGGAUUACUCACCAGGGUUACAUUUUUAUCCAGUUUCUGCAGACAUCGUACCUGUUUACUUAAUUGAUGCACAUGCGUGACAAAAAGUUAAAAGUAUUUUUGGUUGUGAACGCACCUUGAGAAGCUUUUCCGGAAGGUGAGGCCUGUCUUCGGCGGACAAGAACAUGAGGACUUUGACAUUUACCACCGCUUCAUUCCCAUGCUUUGUCCUUUGCAGAGGAGAGACAGCGUGACAAAAGUGUUCCGUGCCGUGUUUUGCUUGUCGGACUAGUGAGUACAUAAGUAAAUAGGUCGGGGGUCGUGUGAGUAACUUCCGACUAAAGUGGCUUCGCUUCGUUUCCGUGGUCCGGUGCGCUCGGUGUGUCGUCUACUCGCCGGUUUGUUUUUGUUUUUUUGGCCCUAUAAGGGCGACCGAGAAAGACUUGACCUCGCCUUCUCCUCUCAGAUCACAUGAUCGUCGCCGACGUGGCGUGAAGAGGAGGCGGGGUCUUCUUGUACGAGGGAAGCCAUUAGCGGCUUUCGCAUCGCCGUCUCUCGCCGGGUGUUGUUGAUUCGUCUCUUCUGUAGGCCGUUCCGCCUCCUCUCUCGUACCUGGCAGCUUGUAGCGUUUUGGCAAAGUGCUGUGAAUAAAAAGAAGCGGUCAUCAGGGUGAAAAAAGACCCCCCAAAAAAAAAGAUGUUUGUGGUGUGACUGCCGUCGUGUCCACCAGGGCGCUUUCACGCUGCGAGAGAAAGACUUUUCCUAAUGCAGUUUGGAGAAUGUUUGGCCCUAUGAAUAGGAAUCCUCCGACGGAGGCUGCGGUUUCAUCUCUUUCUAGCACCUUCUGUUCCACCGUUGCAAUCUUCAGCACAUCUUCUCUCUGGUGGAUUCCCGCGCUCUCGACUUCCCGAGCGUCGACGGGGAUCACGACUUUGCCGCCUAAUUAGAGUCUUUGCAGCGUGCAGGCGCCCUGUGUGAGAGCCGAUGCAGUUUUUUUUGUUUUGUUUUGUUUUUCACAACUCAUUUUAAUAAAGGAUUGUGGUAAUUAA